UGGAAAGUCAGACAGUUCAGCAAUGCGACAUUGAAACAAUGUUGAAUGAAACCAUUAAAAUUCAAACAAUGUGGAGAUACAGUCUCACUGCCCAUCCCCAGCGCCCCUGCUCAUAGAACUUUGAAGACCUUUCUCUAUUGCCGUCUAGAAUUUAAGCAUCACUGAACAGAAAGCAGCAGUUCACAGUACGGAGCCAGACUGCUGGCUUGAAGUCUUGGUCUGCCACCUGCUUGCUGUGCGGCCAGGACACAAGAACCCAACGGGAAGGAGCAGCUGUUCCGUUUUGCUGCCCUGGUGGGGAAGACGCAGAGAAACGGAAACCCGGAGGAAAAGAGGAAGUGAACUCUGGAUUGACAGACACCCAACAAGGCUGAUGUAUUUCCCAAUCAAGUAGCACGGUUCAACAAUAUCCCAGUUCCUCGUUGUGGAAAAGGAUGGCCCAUUUGGGAUCAUGGAAGCAUAACAGGGAGGCCGUUACAGCGCCACGGGACAGACGUGUCUACGUUCACCAGCUGUGUGCCGAGAAGCCUACGCACCUGGGCUGCUUUUUAGGUCGUGUCUGGGAACACACACACAACAGAGCCACAC